CCAAGGCUGGACUGCAGUGGCGCGAGCUCGGCUCACUGCACCCUCCGCCUCCUGG
rnacentral:pre_miRNA from 1 species